GCUGGGCAUGGUGGCUCAUGCCUGUAAUCCCAGCACUUUGGGAGGCCAAGGUGGGUGGAUCACUUGAGGUCAGGAGUUCAAGACCAGCCUGGCCAACAUGGUGAAACCCCAUCUUUU
rnacentral:sRNA from 1 species